rnacentral:rRNA from 1 species
GCAAAGGUAGCGAAAUCAUUAGUCUUUUAAAUGGAGACCUGUAUCAACGAAUUUUUCCUUUUGAGCUGUAUCUUUAUAAAUUUAAUUGAAUUUAUAUGUUAAAGGUGAAAAUUCCUUUAUAAUUUUAAAAAAGACGAGAAGACCCCUGGAGCUUUAUUUAAAUUUUUAAACUUUUUAAGAAAAUAAUUUAGUUGGGGCAACAGAUAAUAAUAUAAUCAUUGUUCUUUAUAGGAGAAUGGCACAUUAGUCUUUAUUAUUAAUAAGAGUGAAGUUACCCUGGGGAUAACAGCAUAAUUUUAUAGUUAAG